GAGCAAGCAACUGAGUGUAUUUUUUUAUCAGUCUUCAAGGGGACAUGAAGGAAUUUUCAUGUCAUCCAAAAGUAAUUAUUUUGAAGUGAUAGAUACAUAACAGACACUAUUGGACAGCAGAGUCACAUUGAUGAAGAGACACAUGAGGCAGCUAAACUAAUGAAACUGCAGAUCGAAUGUGACGGAGGAUAAACAGUUCAGUCUCAACAACAGAGCGACAAAAGGAAUCACACAGCUGGGUACAGCGGCACAAGUCUGUGACAGUCACAGCUACUUGGAAGGCUGCGGCAGGAAGAUCUCCAUUUCAAGACCAGCUAUAGC